CUGACACGGCCAAGCCGGAUCCUGAGGAGCCAGUGGGGCGCAGGCGCGGCGGCGCGGGGCUGGCUGGCGGUUGAGACCGCGACGGUACUGGGAGGGGUAGGUGAGGGUCGCGAGGCUGCCUGAGCUACUGAGUGAGCAUGGCGCUUUUGGAACGCCGGACGGGCGACCUGCGGCGCCAGGAGCUGGGUCGAGGCGCGGCGGCGCGGCUACCGGCUGCUGUCUGGAUGGGAAGUUAUGGCGAAGUCCACCCAGCCUUUCCGAGGCAAUCUGAAGGCAAAUCCUGUUUAGACCCAGGCGAAGGUUCCUGGUGACCCAGGCUCUCACCAGCCAAUUGUCCCUUCCUGUCCUCCUGAGGGUGUCUGGAGCUUCAGUGCUAUGUGCUCUUGGCCUCCACGCUGGGGUGCUACUGACUCCCACUGUCCAGCGCUUCUGGUGGACUCUCCGAGGCACCGAUGCAGAAACUUCCCCAUUCGGUGCACCAAGAGCAGCCUCACAGGGUGUGGGCCGACAUGAAGAGCUGCCAGAUCCAACAGAAAUGUGAUUGAUAACAGUAAAGCCGCACUCCUCACGUGCCUGAAAUACCCCUCAUUGUCUUCUUCAGGUGGCAAGGGCUCUGGAACAGCCACAUAAAAGUGAGGGCAAUAUUUUUUUUCAUUGAUUGAUUGGUUGAUUGAUUUUUUUCUCUUAGAGGGGUUAGCAUCCAUGUAUCUGAAAUUGAAAUUCAAGAGGAGAGACAGACACCUGUACUAGUUUUCUCUUGCUGCCAAUUAUCACAUUACCACAAACCAGUGGUUUGAAACCACGGAAGUCUGGAAUGAAGUGGCUGGGUUCUCUGAUCAGAGUCAUGUGAGGCUAAAAUCCAGGAAUGGGCUGGCUGUGUUUUUUUCUAGAGCUCAAGCUAUUUUUCAAAGUUCAAUACAGAUAUUGGAAGAGUUCCUAUUCUUGUUUGUGGGGGACUGAGGGUCCUUUGUCUUUGCUGACUGUCAACCAGGAGACACUCUGACUCCAGAGGCCACCUGCUUUCCUCCUUACCUGUCUUUUCCAUCAUCAACCAAUAAUAACUCAUGGAGUCUUUCUCAAGCUCCUACCUUCUCUGACUUCAUCUUCUCCAACCAGCCCCAGAAAGUUGUCAUGUAUGAAGUGAUGUGAUUAGAUCCAGUUCAUGCAGGUAACCUCACCAGCUUAAAGUCAUAUAACUGGCAUAUAACAACACAAUCACAGGAAUGGUGUCUCAUCACCUUAACGGGCUUUAGAGACAAGGGUGUGGCAUGUUUAGGGACCAUUUCAGAAAUUCCAUCUACCGCAAUAUUCACAUUCCCCCAACUGCGAAAUGCAUUCACCCUCUCCCCUAAGAUUCCCAAUCUCAUGUCAUUAAAGCAUUAGUUCAACAUGAAAAAUGUCAUGUAGACCACAUCAGAUGAAAAGUGUAAAAUCCCAUUUAAAACAUCCACACCAAGUGUGGAUGAGGCUUCUGAGGGUGUCCAUUAGGUACAGAUCCUUGACAUAAUUCCCUUUCCUCCGUCGACCUGUGAAACUGAACAAACAGCUUAUCUGCCCCUAAUGUGAAAUGACGGGACAGACGUGGAAUAAUAACUACAGUGAUUCUAGUUCCAAAUGAGGGAACAAGGAAGGGAUAAAGAAGUCACUGACCCACAAUAGUUUGGAAAUGGAGUUGGGCAAAAUCCAGCAGGAGUUUCUUAAUUAGGAUCCACAGCCUGGGACUGAUCCGCCGUCCUGUGAGUCUUUGCCUCUGGGCUCUCUGCUCUGCAUUUCUUGAGACCAAGAUUAUUUGUCUUUUUUCUCACACUCUUUUGUGUAUGGCUCCUAUUGCACUCAAAAUGUUUUUGAGAUUCAUCCGUGUUGUUUUGUGUGUCAACAGUUUGUUCCUUUAGCCUUUCCAUGGAAUGAAUGUAUCACAGUUUAUUGAUCCAUUCUUGUAUUGACAGAUGCUUGAAU